rnacentral:sRNA from 1 species
CGCCAAUCCUCCAAAUCUCUUGAUUUUGGUCUCUCUAAUCCCUUUAUCCAGCCACUGUCUCUCCCUCUCUGGCUCUAAAUCCAACAACAUCCGCUUUGUGUCUGGGGAGCAUAUUAUAUGUCCUGUAAAAUCUGAAUUGAGCCCGCGGAGGUUGAUAAAGUUCAAGAGGUUCAGAUGGAGACGAGGAAGGCCCAGGGAUAAGCCAUUGAGGCCGAUGAGGUGCUGGUGGAGCGACAAAAGAGUCUACUCGAAUGAGGGGAAAUUCCAGGAUAUGGCCGUCUAGGCAAGUUAGUCUAUAUCAUGCUGGUUGAACUCACUAUAGAUGCCUGCCAUAAUGCACUUGAAGUAUCGUUAUG